rnacentral:rRNA from 1 species
CAAUAGCGUAUAUUAAAGUUGUUGCAGUUAAAAAGCUCGUAGUUGGACCUUGGGCCUGGACGGGCGGUCCGCCUCACGGCGUGUACUGUCUUGCCGGGCCUUUCCUCUUGGUGAUCUGUUGUUUCGGCAGCAGGGAACCAGGACCUUUACUUUGAAAAAAUUAGAGUGUUCAAAGCAGGCUCGACGCCGGAAUAUAUUAGCAUGGAAUAAUAAAAUAGGACGUGCGGUUCUAUUUUGUUGGUUUUUGGAAUCGCCGUAAUGAUUAAUAGGGACAGUCGGGGGCAUUAGUACUCACAUGCUAGAGGUGAAAUUCUUGGAUUUUGUGAAGACUAACUUCUGCGAAAGCAUUUGCCAAGGAUGUUUUCAUUAA